AUUGAACGCUGGCGGCAGGCCUAACACAUGCAAGUCGAGCGCGAAAGCACUUCGGUGUGAGUAGAGCGGCGGACGGGUGAGUAACGCGUAAGAAUCUACCUAGUAGUGGGGGACAACUCGAGGAAACUCGAGCUAAUACCGCAUACGCCCUACGGGGGAAAGCGGGGGACCUUCGGGCCUCGCGCUAUUAGAUGAGCUUGCGUUGGAUUAGCUUGUUGGUGAGGUAAUGGCUCACCAAGGCUACGAUCCAUAGCUGGUCUGAGAGGAUGAUCAGCCACACCGGGACUGAGACACGGCCCGGACUCCUACGGGAGGCAGCAGUGGGGAAUAUUGCGCAAUGGGCGGAAGCCUGACGCAGCCAUGCCGCGUGUGUGAAGAAGGCCUUAGGGUUGUAAAGCACUUUCAAUUGGGAGGAAAAGUUAACGACUAAUACUCGUUAGCCUUGACGUUACCUUUAGAAGAAGCACCGGCUAACUCCGUGCCAGCAGCCGCGGUAAUACGGAGGGUGCAAGCGUUAAUCGGAAUUACUGGGCGUAAAGCGCGCGUAGGCGGCUUUUUAAGUCGGAUGUGAAAGCCCCGGGCUCAACCUGGGAACUGCAUCCGAUACUGGAAGGCUAGAGUGCGAGAGAGGGAGGUAGAAUUCCAUGUGUAGCGGUGAAAUGCGUAGAUAUAUGGAGGAAUACCAGUGGCGAAGGCGGCCUCCUGGCUCGACACUGACGCUGAG
rnacentral:rRNA from 1 species